rnacentral:lncRNA from 1 species
UCAUGUUCAUGUUUGUAAUGAAAGUGAACAAAACCAAGACCAACAAGAUCUCAUUUUUUGCCACUACUGUCUUUUUUUAAAAAAAAUUCCUAUUAGUUUUAGUCAAGAAUGAGAGCACAGUAUUAUAGAAAACCUAGAUUUAUUUGUUAACCUAUUACAAAGACGAAACAAUUAUCAUCAGGAGUACUUUAAGGACCUUAUCUCAGUUCACUUGUUCUGUUACAGAAAACUAACCUAAGAAGGCAGAAAUCAAAGGAUAUAACCUCAGAGGCUAUAACAAAGCAGACUGGAAAAACAAGGUGGAAAGGACGGAAGCUACCCAGAAGCACUUUUUUAUGGUAGGGUAGGAUUUGCAAUUGGGAUGUUUCCCAAGAGACCACCUAGACAGGUGUGAAUUAAUCUGGGCCCCAAAUUAGUGACUCUUGCCCCUGUGGAGAAUGACAGAGACUGAUCCUUCUGAGACCUCUGCCCUUUCUUUUAGGGAUAAGGAUAUCUCUAGCCCCCCGCCCCCUCAUCUUAACUUUAUCCUAUUUCCUGCCCAAUUCCUGUGCAUUUUUUACCACACUGGCCUGCUAGCAUAGACAAUGCAUACAGCAAAGGCAGGAAUUACAGGCCUAGUCAGCGGGUUACCUAGACAUAAAGUUUUAGGGUAAAUGAUAAAUUACAAAUACCCCUUGGUUAAGCUAAUUCACCUUUGUUAAUAAAGGUCAUAGUUUCUUCUGCUGGUGACAACUUUCUGUCUCGGUAUAGUUUAUCUUGAGGAAGAACUGGUUUAAGUGAGUUUUGGAGAAGGAAAAAGACUUUCAUCAGCCUCUCUUCAGAGGGAAGAGGCACCAAGUUUUCUCCUACAGUUAGGAGCAGAACCUGAAAAACAAAAGGUUGGCACAGUGUUAAUAGGAACUGUCAUUCACUGAAUGCCUUGUCAAAGGUGCCAGAGGAUUUAAAUACACCUCAGGCCUUGCAGUAACCCUGCCAGGCAGUUCUUACCAUCCCCAUUUUUUAGAUGAGGAACCUGAGGACUAGAUAAGUUAUAAACCUCAUCCAAAGGCACAUGGUAGAGUGAUGAUCCCACUGUUCAUGUACUUUCCCCCUCACUCCAUCACACACACUGAGAAGUCCUAUUCCAUUAUCCAGAAAUUAUUAAUGGUUGCAUAAACACUAAUUAUUCCAUGUUCAUCCUUCAAUGGCACCCACAAUUUUAUAUGAUUAUGAGUUUACAGACAUUGUUUGGAAUUCAGGUCACCUACCCAGACGAAGAAUAUGAAUAAACUUUAUGAAAAAGUUAUUUCUUUGC